rnacentral:tRNA from 1 species
GGCCGCGAACCGGAGGGAGCACCGGUCUCCAAAACCGGCGGUUGGGGGUUCAAGUCCCUCCGGCCC